rnacentral:rRNA from 1 species
UACAGAGGUCCCAAGCGUUGUUCGGAUUCAUUGGGCGUAAAGAGCGUGUAGGCGGCCAGGUAGGUCUGCUGUGAAAACUCGAGGCUCAACCUCGAGACGUCGGCGGAAACCAUCUGGCUAGAGUCCGGAAGAGGAGAGUGGAAUUCCUGGUGUAGCGGUGAAAUGCGCAGAUAUCAGGAAGAACACCCGUGGCGAAGGCGGCUCUCUGGGACGGUACUGACGCUGAGACGCGAAAGCGUGGGAGCGAACAGG